UUUUUGGAGAGUUUGAUCCUGGCUCAGGACGAACGCUGGCGGCGUGCCUAAUACAUGCAAGUCGAGCGGACCUCUUCGGAGGUCAGCGGCG
rnacentral:ncRNA from 1 species